rnacentral:tRNA from 1 species
GGCCAGUUAGCUCAGUGGGUCGAGCAUGGUGCUGAUAACACCAAGGUCACGGGUUCGAUUCCCGCUCGGUCCC